rnacentral:rRNA from 1 species
AGUGAACGCUGGCGGUAGGCCUAACACAUGCAAGUCGAACGGCAGCACAGUAAGAGCUUGCUCUUACGGGUGGCGAGUGGCGGACGGGUGGGGAAUACAUCGGAAUCUACUUUUUCGUGGGGGAUAACGUAGGGAAACUUACGCUAAUACCGCAUACGACCUACGGGUGAAAGCAGGGGAUCUUCGGACCUUGCGCGAUUGAAUGAGCCGAUGUCGGAUUAGCUAGUUGGCGGGGUAAAGGCCCACCAAGGCGACGAUCCGUAGCUGGUCUGAGAGGAUGAUCAGCCACACUGGAACUGAGACACGGCCCAGACUCCUACGGGAGGCAGCAGUGGGGAAUAUUGGACAAUGGGCGCAAGCCUGAUCCAGCCAUACCGCGUGGGUGAAGAAGGCCUUCGGGUUGUAAAGCCCUUUUGUUGGGAAAGAAAAGCAGCAGGUUAAUACCCCGCUGUUCUGACGGUACCCAAAGAAUAAGCACCGGCUAACUUCGUG